AUGGGGUGCAGCAGGCGCGAAACCUCCGCAAUGCGGGCAACCGCGACGGGGGGACCCCCAGUGCCGUGGCAACGCCACGGCUUUUCCGGAGUGUAAAAAGCUCCGGGAAUAAGGGCUGGGCAAGGCCGGUGGCAGCCGCCGCGGUAAUACCGGCGGCCCGAGUGGUGGCCGCUAUUAUUGGGCCUAAAGCGUCCGUAGCCGGGCCCGUAAGUCCCUGGCGAAAUCCCACGGCUCAACCGUGGGGCUUGCUGGGGAUACUGCGGGCCUUGGGACCGGGAGAGGCCGGGGGUACCCCUGGGGUAGGGGUGAAAUCCUAUAAUCCCAGGGGGACCGCCAGUGGCGAAGGCGCCCGGCUGGAACGGGUCCGACGGUGAGAGACGAAGGCCAGGGGAGCGAACCGGAUUAGAUACCCGGGUAGUCCUGGCUGUAAAGGAUGCGGGCUAGGUGUCGGGCGAGCUUCGAGCUCGCCCGGUGCCGAAGGGAAGCCGUUAAGCCCGCCGCCUGGGGAGUACGGCCGCAAGGCUGAAACUUAAAGGAAUUGGCGGGGGAGCACC
rnacentral:rRNA from 1 species